rnacentral:rRNA from 1 species
UACGAGGGGGGCGAGCGUUGUUCGGAAUUAUUGGAGCGUAAAGGGUGCGUAGGCGGUUUGGUAAGUCUUAUGUGAAAUCUAUGGGCUCAACUCAUAGUCUGCAUCGGAAACUGCCGGGCUUGAGUAUGGGAGAGGUGAGUGGAAUUCCUGGUGUAGCGGUGAAAUGCGUAGAUAUCAGGAGGAACACCUGUGGCGAAAGCGGCUCACUGGACCAUAACUGACGCUGAUGCACGAAAGCUAGGGGGAGCAAAACAGG